rfam:Picrophilus torridus DSM 9790, complete genome.
GCAGAGGUUGCCGAGACUGGACAAAGGCGCUAGAUUGAGGGUCUAGUUCCGUAGGGAUCCGCGGGUUCAAAUCCCGUCCUCUGCA